rnacentral:rRNA from 1 species
AUGGCUCGUGUCACUGCACUAGUGGCCCUUGUUGUCCUAGGUUCGCUGGUCGCCUCGGCGACGUCGUCGGAGGAACUGCAUUGCUGCACGGACCACCACAGCUGGGGCAACGGGUUGAAGAACAUCGGCUGCAAGCUGCCGGAGCAGAACGGCGAGUGCAACGCGUGGUGCCAGUCGGGCUGCCGCGGUGGCGAGUGCAAGAUGCGUGACGGACUGCACUUCUGCCAUUGUUACUGUUGA